rnacentral:rRNA from 1 species
GACGUGACUUCAGAGUUUGAUCCUGGCUCAGAACGAACGCUGGCGGCAGGCUUAACACAUGCAAGUCGAACGCCCCGCAAGGGGAGUGGCAGACGGGUGAGUAACGUGUGGGAACAUACCCUUUCCUGCGGAAUAGCUCCGGGAAACUGGAAUUAAUACCGCAUACGCCCUACGGGGGAAAGAUUUAUCGGGGAAGGAUUGGCCCGCGUUGGAUUAGCUAGUUGGUGGGGUAAAGGCCUACCAAGGCGACGAUCCAUAGCUGGUCUGAGAGGACGAUCAGCCACAUUGGGACUGAGACACGGCCCAA